UAGACCAAGCCAUCCUCCACUCCACCAAGUCCAACAAGAAGCGCUUGGAACCCAAAUACCACCACCAAACCCAAACCCUCUCAUCCAAACUCCACUUGACCAAAGACCUCACUAUCCAAAUCCAAUUCCGUCACUACAAGCUCCAUUUAACCUAAAUAGACCCAUCCAUGUUGAGGGCUAUGGUAGGGGAGGACAACAUGAUGGUUAUGAACCGUAUGAUGAUACUUACAUAAGAGGGGGAGAGAUAAGGGGAAGGCAUGGUGAUCCGAGGAAAGUUAAUGGCCGAGAAGGUAGAGUUGGUCAUUGGAACCAAUAAGGGAACCAAAACCGUGAUGUAGGGCUAAAUACCAUCAAGAUGGGGCUUCCAAUCUUCAAGGGUGAGAGUGAUCCCGAAGAUUUUCUUGCAUGGGAAUCCUCAUGUGAGAUGGUUAUCCAAGUUAAUGAUCUUACCGAGGAGAAGAAGAGUUGCUAUGCGAUUGCUCACUUUGAGGGUUAUGCUACUACAUGGUGGGAGUAUGUUAAGCGUUUUGGUAAUGCUUUGGUUAAGGGGAAUCCCCCUCCUUGGUUUCAGUUAAGGUACCUCAUGAUACAAAGGUAUCUACUCGAAAGAUAUCAACAAGAGCUCCUUGCCAAGUUGUAUAACUUAAGGCAAGGGAACAAGAACGUCAUGGAUUACUAUGAUGAGUUCCAACAACUCAUUUUGAAACUUGAUCAUCGAGGGGAGCAAGUGAGUUACAACAUCAUCCGAUUCAAGGUGGGAUUGAAUAGAGAUAUUGCCUCGCGGUUGACACUUCACAAGUUCGACACUAUUGAUGCCAUCUUCCAAGCUGCCUUGGAGAUUAAAAGAGAGUUCGGGAGAAACCGGGGUAUAAGCUUAAGGUGAAAUCACCCUCAGGUUAGCACAAGGACAAAAAUGACUCAUGCAAUGUGGAGAAACCCGAGGUCAAGGCUGCCCAAGCCGAGAACAAGGCUCACCAAAGGUACCCUCCAAGAAAUGAAGGUAAAUCGCAUUCCUUUCCUAAUGCUAAGGGUUUUCAAUAUUUUAAAUGCCAAGGUUGGGGACACAAGGCUAAUGAGUGUCCAAAUAGGAGAAAUAUAAUCCUAAGGGAGGGGAAAUUGUACUUUCUUGGGGAAAAGGUGGGACUUGAACCAACGGAGAUUGAUGAUCAAUGUCAAGAUGGAGAGAGGGUAAAACCCGAGAGGCCAAAGGAAGGGGAGGAGGAAGAUGCAUGGCCAUGUGAUGGUGAGCUUGAGGUGUCGUGUUUUGUAGUGAGAAGGACCAUGAUUAGUAAGGCUUUGGUUGAUCCUAGUCAAAGGGAAAACCUUUUUAACACCAAAUACCUUAUUAAGGGAGUUGUGUGUUCCAUGAUCAUUGAUGGAGGUAGUUGUACGAAUAUUGCUAGUAGUACCUUGGUUUACGUCUUGAGGUUUCCCACUAUCCAUCAUUCAAACCCAUACAACCUUCAAUGGUUGAAUGAGUGUAGGGAGUUAAAGGUAAACCGACAAGUGGUGAUAUGGUUUAAGGUAGGCAACUAUUUUGACGAGGUGUUGUGUGAUGUUAUUCCUAUGCAAGCGUGCCACCUAUGGUUAGGGAGAACAUGGAAAUAUGAUAGAGAUACCAUGCAUGAUGGACGAACCAAUAGCUACACUUUGAAGCUCCAUGGUCGAAGGUAUACACUCCACCCUCUCUCACCGAUACAAGUGGCCGAAGUUAAUCAAAAAGUGAGGAAGUUAGAGGAAAAGAGGAAAAAAGAGCUAAAGGGAAAGACCGAGAGUGGGAGUAGAGGAGAAGGGAAGGGAACCAAGGAUCAAAAAGGAAAGGGUUCCUCACUUUUGGGACUUACCCUCGGGGAUCCUUUAUUUCUCACUAACGUAGGUACUAGCAUUUUGCCUAGUACUGCCUUUUCUUGUGUGUAGGUUCAUGAUCAUGUGCUUUCUAGGGGGGAUACUAAGCAGAUUUCUCACCAACACAUGCUUGAAGAUCUCAAGGAGCCCUUAGCUAAGCAUCCAAUUUUCUUGACAGAAAAUGAGGAAGUGAUUCUAUGGAGAAGCCAUGAGGUUGAGGUCAAACUCCUUUCAAGAUGGAGAGGAUGGUACAAGUACGACCUCAUAGAUGGAUAUUUUUAAGCAUGUUGAAUGCAACCGAGAAAGUGCACACGUGUAAGUGUGAAGGAGGCUCCAAAACCGUCCAUAAUGUGCACUACAUAGGCGCCUAUUGCUCACUUGGUCAUUAAAGGGCCUUUUUGUCUUUUCACCUUUUAUUUGUGAUGUAAUAUAAAUAGAACAACUUAGGGUUUUUUGGACUUAGUGGAUUAUUGUUGAAACUUGAGACAUUGUAACAUCCAAAGUUCUCUCUUAGUCUUGAAAGUGAACUCAAAACCGAAACUAGAGCUAGGCAAGUGAAGAUUCACUUGUGUUUGCCUUGUUGGCUUGAUACGUUGGUGUUUAGAGAAGAUAAAGUCCCUCUUGUGUCAACGUAGUAGUUAGGUGUUUAUUGUGUGUAGUGUUAAGGGUUCAAAAGUCCACCAAAUUCUUGGGUUCUUAAGAUUAUACCCUCACUUAUCUAACUAUCUAUCUUGUAUCUUGUUGUAAGUUUUGGUUUCUUAUUCUUGUUAAUGAACCCGUGAGUCAUUUUUAUUGUAAUAUUGUUGUUCUUCAUCUCUUUGUUGCUAAUAUAGUUUGGGUUGUUGGUUGAUUGGUAUGUUAAACACUUUGUACUCUCUCCUUUCUUGUUCUAGAUAGUGAAUUCGAGAGUGGUCACCAAAGGGUCCUCGGUUCCCUUGAGCUUAUGGACUAUUUUUGGUGUGUGAUUUCGUGUGUUCUUGGUCAUUAUUGUAUCAAAGACUGUUCGAGAUACAAAAAGGGCAGCCCGGUGCACUAAAGCUCCCGCUAUGCGCAGGGUCCGGGGAAGAGCCCUACCACAAAUGUAACUAAAGCCCCCGUUGUUCAAGACACAACGACCUCUAAAUUAACCAUGAAUAUUACAUUUUACAUCGAGAAACCUAGUAGUUUCAACUAUCAUCAAGCUACAAAUAGAAGAGGAUACAUUUGGAAACUGAUUAAAUUUCUCCAUGAUAACCUCCAGAACCAAAGUAGCCUCUCCUUGAAUUGGCUGUCUACAUGCUCUGUUGAUGCUCUAGCAUGGGGCUGUCACAGAUACAAUGACCAAUCCUACCACAAUACACCCAACUCUUUACCCCACUUGUACUCAUGAUUGCCUUGACGUAGUUCAGGCUGGUUUGGGUACUCAGAGGUAUUUGUUGAAAGUUGCUUUAAGAAUACAACUAUUUUUUCUUUUUUCUCCAGCAGUUUUUUUACAUACAAUACUAGUUAAAUUAGGAGUCCUAAUGCAACUGUUUUUUCUUUUUUCUCCAGCAGUUUUUUUACGUAUAAUCCUAGUUAAAUUAGGAGUCCUAUCUUUGGUAGGAAACUAAUUAGUUAUUUUAUUUUAAUUUUGGUAGAAAUAGGUUGUUUCUUUAUCCUAUUUUUUAUUGUAAUAGCAACUAUUUAAGUUGCUAAGUUGAUGAUCAAUAAUAGAUGGUCUUUUAACAAGAAAAUAAUCUAUCUCUCUGCAUAUUCUCUUCUUCAAACUUCAUCUCUAUUUCAGCGGUUAGUUUUUGAAUUGAUAUCCUGUUAUUUUCUUUUAACAAUUUUAAACCAACAGUAUUAAUAGGAUAAUUUUAUUGGUGCAAUUAAAGUUGUUUGUUUUUAUUGAAAUACUGUUUUUGCCUGCUUUGGUUAUGGAGGUGUUGACUCGAGUAUCCAAGGAGAGGUGUCAUGGUGUAUGCUUUUUGUGGACAAUGUGGUUUUGAUUGACGAGACCCGGGAAGGUGUGAAUGAUAAAUUAGAGGUGUAGAGACAGACUCUUGAGUCUAAAGGGUUCAGGUUGAGUAGGAGCAAGACCGAAUAGUUGGAAUGUAAGUUUAAUGGCUCGGGGGAGCAGGACGAGGUGGUAGUAAGGUUGGAUUCUCAGGUGGUGUGUAAGAGGGAUAGUCUUAAGUACCUCGGGUCUAUGAUUCAGGGGAAUGAUGAGAUUGACGAGGAUGUCUCUCACCGGAUUGGGGCGGGAUGGAUGAAUUGGAAGCUCGCCUCAGGGGUGUUGUGUGAUAAGAAGGUGCCGCCCAAUCUUAAAGGCAAAUUUUACAGGGUGGCAGUCCGCCCGGCCAUGUUGUAUGGAGCGGAGUGUUGGCCAGUCAAGAACUCUCAUAUUCAAAAAUUGAAGGUGGCGGAAAUGCGGAUGUUACGUUGGAUUUGUGGUCUUACUAGGGGGAUAGGGUUCGGAAUGAGACUAUUCGGGAGAGAGUUAGAGUGGCUUCGGUGGAGGACAAGAUGCGGGAGGUCCGUUUGAGAUGGUUCGGACACAUGAUGAGGAGGGGCACAGAUGCACCAGUUCGUAGGUGUAAGAGGCUUGCUUUAGAUGAUUUCAAGCAGGAAAGGGGCAGGUCAAAGAAAUAUUGGAGAGAGGUGAUUAGGCGGGACAUAGAGCAGUUACAACUUACUGAGGACAUGAACCUAGAUAGAAAGAGCUGGAGGACGCGUAUUAGGAUAGAAGGCUAGUGACUAUUAGGGUAGGUAGGGUAGGGCAUUACCUGUUUGGUGUAUUACUCUUGUUAGGCUACCUUGUUGCAUGCUGUAUUACGAGUGCCUACUAUUCUUUGUUUACUUUCCAUUGUAAGGGCAUUUUUAUGUCUUGCCAUCUUGUUCCAUGCAUUUCGUACGGUUGUGAUUACUUAUCUUAUCUUGAGCCGGGGGUCUAUCAGAAACAGUCUUGCUAUUUCUCAGGAGGUAGUGGUAUGAACUGCGUACAUCUUACCCUCCCCAGACCUCACUGUGUGGGAAUACACUGGGUUUGUUGUUAUUUUUGUUGCUGUUGUGUUCUUUUCUUGUACAGUGUCAUGAACGACAUGGACUCCGCCAAAUUCUAUGUGAAGAAUCAAAUUCAGCAGUUGUUUCCUAGGAUUCUACUCGAUAUGUAUCUGAAUUUUCACAUCAAUGAAGAUUCGAUGCCCUGAAGCUGCAAUUUAUCCUCACUUGUGAUGUUGAUUCUUCUUAUUCAGAACCAAUGUCAGGGACUCCGCAAAUUCUACGUGAAGAGUCAAAUCCAGCAGUUGUCAACAGAGAAGUGAGAGCUUCAGAAAUUGUUUCCAGGAUGCUAUUUGAUGUGUAUAUGAAUUUUCACAUCAAUGAUUCCACCUGUCUGUGAAGAUUCGAUGCCCUGGAGGCUGGAACUUUCCCUCAGAUGUAGUAUUGAUUCUUUUUAUUCAGGAAAAUUGAUAGUCUUGAUGCUUCCAGCACCUCCAUCACCUUGAACUUCAAUGCUUUUGAUAGCUUGUGGCAUCAACUUCGGGAUCAAGUUAUGAGAAUCAACAAUGGAGGCCUUGAAUAUUCUUUUGGGAGGAAGUGGAGAAGUGUUCUCCUCAGUGAAGGUGGUGACAGCCAUAAUGUUUUGAUUUUGAGAAGAAAAUAAAAUAGUAUUUCUUGUAGGGAGAGAGCAGUUGUUUGAUGAAAAGUAAGGGGGAUAUCAAAGUUUAUAUAGGUUCAAGUCCAUGUAUUAUAUAAUCUUGUAGUCAUUUUCAUGGCAGGCCGCAUAUAUGCUUUUGCUCGUCCAUAUGCAUUGGUUUCCAAUGUUUGUGAAGUUGCUAUAGCAUAAGGAUCUGCUUGUUUUGUGGUUAGAUGCUCUUUGUUGGAUUUACUUGUUCAGUAUAUUUGGUAUACUUCGAUUAUCACACUAUUCCGUUGUAGUUACUGUUCUUUGCAGAAUGCUUUCCCAUGUUUUUUAUAGUAUUUUACCAUGAUUUCUUCA